AAAGUCGUAACAAGGUUUCCGUAGGUGAACCUGCGGAAGGAUCAUUACAAGAUGGUGGUUGGGUGUGUUGGGUGGAUGAGUGUAGUGUGUAUACGAUGGUGAUCAGUCUAUACUAUCAUUGUCAGUGUACAUAUAUGCUAGCCACUGCUCCCGCCUUCAGCCUAUAUAUGUUCGCGCUCGGAAGAGUAUUCCGCGGGGUAUUCGUAUUCUGCAGAGUAUUCAUUGGGAUACCCGGCUGAGCCGCAACACUCGCGCUUGCUUUGUUUGACAGUCUAUCGUAACCUAAACAUAUAAAACUUUUAACAAUGGAUCUCUUGGCUCUU
rnacentral:misc_RNA from 1 species